rnacentral:pre_miRNA from 2 species
UGCCCUCAAUGGCUCAGUAGUCAGUGUAGAUCCUGUCUUUUAUAAUCAGUAGCUACAUCUGGCUACUGGGUCUCUGAUGGCAUC